UCAACGUGUUAUAAAAAAAAAUGAAGAAGAAAAGAUAUAUAUAUAUAUACAUAUAAAAAACGAAGCAAGUUUGAAGAGUUAAGCCUAACCUAAUAGAAUUGACUCUAAAAAUAGAAUCAACACACAGAGAGACAAUAGAUAGCUCGGGCACAAGAAAGGAAAAGAAUAUAAGUGUGGCUAAAAAUUGAUUCAACGAAAUUUAAAGAAAUUACGUUUAAGUAAUUUGAACGAGGAAGAAAACGUUUAUAAUCUCUCGAAGCCUCUAUCAAAGCUUAUACACGAGCCUCGAAUUAUCCGUUUCACGGAUAUAUAUGUAUAUCUCUAAGCAAAUCUCAAUCCCGCACCGAAUGGACAACACCGACUUGAUGGAUUACCGCGGCCAAAUCUUCAAAUCCUCAAACUCAUUUCGCUAAUCGCCACCGCCAACACCGCCGUCUCCUCCUCCAUUUUAAUCCGCAUUGUCCAGAAGACAUUGUCGUUGCCACGGAAGAAGGAUGGAAUCGCGAAAAGAGGUGCGCUUUCCGUGUACCCGAACAGAGGACUUAGCGUCUAAAAACAACGAGCGACGCCGUUGUCAGUCUGCCAAAAUUCCAUCGCGACCGAACAGUUGCCAGUACCGUACCGUAUCUUCAAAAAAACGUGACUAAAGUUUAGUAUCCGGGUUGCAACAUUUUUUUCUUCUUCUUUCCCGAACCUUCUCGAAUCUGAAAACGAAAAUGAUAAUAAGGUUAUUUCAAUAUGAUAUAACUUUGGACGGAUAGACACGUGUCCAAUUGAUAUUUUUCCUCUCGUUAAUAGAGAAUUUAAUUGUACGUUAUGAGAUGAAUGAAAAAUAAGACAGGUUUGGAUUACUGUAUAUUUUUGGCAUGAAACUAGAGGGAAUAUAAUACACAAAUGGAAUUAACCAGCCAAAGGAGAAUCUUUUAAAUUCAUUUCAUAAAAAGAAAUAUCCUGAGAAGCAGAAAUUUGGAUAAAAAGAUGGUUUUAUAUUAUUAUUACCAUGAGAGAGAAAGGGAGUAAGGGAAAAAAGGAGAUAAAAUAAAACGUUCCGGAAGCCAGAUGAGUUCCCUAAUUGAAUCAAUCAAAAUAUCGAGCAAAAGCGAUUCGAUAAACGAUGGACAAUCUAAUUAACGAGUUAAGAGUCAAGGCUUGACCUUUUACUCUUGGUCACGCACAAUGUCGAAGACGUCGCGCAGAUUUUCGUGUCGAGAUGUAUCGUUGACAAGCAUUCACGAUGGACAAUGGCGGG